rnacentral:rRNA from 1 species
CCUGGCUCAGGACGAACGCUGGCGGCGUGCCUAACACAUGCAAGUCGAACGGAACUGUUUUGAAAGAUUUCUUCGGAAUGAAUUUGAUUUAGUUUAGUGGCGGACGGGUGAGUAACGCGUGAGUAACCUGCCUUCAAGAGGGGGAUAACAUUCUGAAAAGAAUGCUAAUACCGCAUGACAUAUCGGAACCACAUGGUUCUGAUAUCAAAGAUUUUAUCGCUUGAAGAUGGACUCGCGUCCGAUUAGUUAGUUGGUGAGGUAACGGCUCACCAAGACCGCGAUCGGUAGCCGGACUGAGAGGUUGAACGGCCACAUUGGGACUGAGACACGGCCCAGACUCCUACGGGAGGCAGCAGUGGGGGAUAUUGCGCAAUGGGGGCAACCCUGACGCAGCAACGCCGCGUGAAGGAUGAAGGUUUUCGGAUUGUAAACUUCUUUUAUUAAGGACGAAACUUGACGGUACUUAAUGAAUAAGCUCCGGCUAACUACGUGCCAGCAGCCGCGGUAAUACGUAGGGAGCAAGCGUUGUCCGGAUUUACUGGGUGUAAAGGGUGCGUAGGCGGCUUUGCAAGUCAGAUGUGAAAUCUAUGGGCUCAACCCAUAAACUGCAUUUGAAACUGUAGAGCUUGAGUGAAGUAGAGGCAGGCGGAAUUCCCCGUGUAGCGGUGAAAUGCGUAGAGAUGGGGAGGAACACCAGUGGCGAAGGCGGCCUGCUGGGCUUUAACUGACGCUGAGGCACGAAAGCGUGGGUAGCAAACAGGAUUAGAUACCCUGGUAGUCCACGCUGUAAACGAUGAUUACUAGGUGUGGGGGGACUGACCCCUUCCGUGCCGCAGUUAACACAAUAAGUAAUCCACCUGGGGAGUACGACCGCAAGGUUGA